rnacentral:lncRNA from 1 species
CACUAAAUAUUUACAUAUCAAAAAAUUAUAAAUUUGAAUUAUGGAAUCACUAGAUGCCUUGAUGAUAGGUAUUUAAAAUAUAAUAUUUUUGAUUUAGAUAUUGUAGAUUGUAUCAGUUAAGAAAUAUAUAUUUUUGAGAUGUCGAAAAGCUAUUUCUACGAGUUGUUAAUGUAUUGAUAAAUAUAUUUGGUAUCUUUUGAUUGCGU